GAGAGGAGCGAGCGACUCCUGCGCAAGCGCAGAGUGAAGGGCCGGGAACAGUGGAGGGUGCGAGGAAGACAAUGGGGGAGGACCCUGAGGCGGCCUCUGUGAGCCGACAGGAACACGUGGUCGAUCAGAGAGAGACUCGAGGUUCGUGAACGGAUGGGGAGGACCCUGAAAAGCACUGUGGAAUACAGGUUUCUAGUAACUUCAAAAUCACAUCAUUUGGACUGGGUAAGAAUUGCUGAAACUUUAAUGAAAAGACUGACUGGCUUAUAAAACUGCUAACCCAAAUAGAAUAAAAAUUAAUUGAAUACCGAGGAAAUGCUUCACCAGGUUUGCAUACUUAAUCAGCCUAUACUGAAAUUGUUUAGAUAUACAAUUUGAAUGAACUCCAUGGUCUAAGUCAAAUUACCUGUGAUAACCCAUCAGUUAUCCAUGCUAUGUGCCCAAUUUGGAGAAACAACUGGCACCCAAGAGGACAUAAGUCCGAUGUUAAGCAUGGACUCAUGGAGAACCAAGAUGGCUGCCUUGUCCUUCGUGAGUCCUUAAAGCUUUUGUUAUUAAAAGUUAUGCAUUCCAUGACUCAUCCUGGAAAAGAUAAAAUGAUCCAAAUUAAAUAUGUUGGUGUGGUGACUUACAGAUUGUUAAAAUAGUUUAUAAACAAUGUUUAGUUUGUCAAACCCAUACUCCUGGGAAGUCAAUCAAAGCUUCAUGUACAUUUGGCUACCUGAUGAGGCAUUUAAACAUUUAUA
ensembl:lncRNA LINC03015 long intergenic non-protein coding RNA 3015